UCCGUAGGUGAACCUGCGGAAGGAUCAUUACAAAGUUCCCGGCCUCGCGGCCAACCUUACUGGAGGACAGCCCCGGGGAUUCCCUCUCCGCGGCUGCUGACAGUUUACCCACUGUGAAAACCCUUGUUGCUUCGGCAGCGCCUCCCCGUCCGCGGGGAGGGUCAGCCUGCCGGCAGCACAACAGAUAAAACCCUUUGUGAACCGGUAAAGAAACGUCUGAGAGCGCAGUCGAAUGACACAUAAAACUUUCAACAACGGAUCUCUUGGUUCCCGCAUCGAUGAAGAACGCAGCGAAACGCGAUAGUUAAUGUGAAUUGCAGAAUUCAGUGAAUCAUCGAGUCUUUGAACGCACAUUGCGCCUUUUGGUAUUCCGAGAGGCACGUCUGUUUGAGCGUCAGCAAAACCCUCCGGCCUCCCGUUUGUUCGGGGGCACGGGUCAGCUGCGCGGGGACUGGCCGCCGCGCUUCGGUGCGGGCGGGCCUUCCCCCGCUUAAAGGUGUGGAAGCUAGCGGGUGCUCCCCGGAUCGCGACGACUCGUAAGCACUUACUGUCGAAGGCAUCCGGACGCCCCUGCCUCAAACCG
rnacentral:rRNA from 1 species